rnacentral:rRNA from 1 species
AUGCAUGUCUAAGUACAGUUCGACAGAGUAAUCUGCCGGGCGAAACCGCGGACGGCUCAUUAAAUCAGUCGUGGUCUAAAUGGGCUAAAGUUUCCUUUUGGAUAACUGUGGAAAAUCCAGAGCUAAUACAUGCGAUUUACGAGUCCUGAGCUAAAACUCUUUAUUCCUUUGGGGAUAUUGGGCAAUAACUCAGGAUGCUUUUAUUAGACCGAGGUGCGCGCAUACUCGACUUAGCUCUUUGUGAAUUUACAUUUGCAUUGGGCGGUCGUUUGUGUGUCGUUGUGUAAGCGCUUAAUGGUGAACCCUGGAUAACACUUGAUGAGCGUGCCAUUGCGGCACGCCGCCUACUUACGAGUGACUGCCCUAUCAGCUAGUAACGUAUGUUAUACGCGAACGCUGGCGGUAACGGGUAACGGGGAAUCAGAGUUCGAUUCCGGAGAGGCAGCCUGAGAAACGGCUACCACG